UACAGAGGGUGCGAGCGUUAAUCGGAAUUACUGGGCGUAAAGCGUGCGUAGUCGGUAGCGUAAGUCGGGUGUGAAAGCCCCGGGCUCAACCUGGGAAUUGCAUUCGAGACUGCUCUGCUAGGGUGCGGAAGAGGGGAGCGGAAUUUCCGGUGUAGCGGUGAAAUGCGUAGAUAUCGGAAGGAACACCAGUGGCGAAAGCGGCUCCCUGGUCCAGCACCGACGUUCAGGCACGAAAGCGUGGGGAGCAAACAGG
rnacentral:rRNA from 1 species